UACGAAGGGGGCUAGCGUUGUUCGGAAUGACUGGGCGUAAAGGGCGCGUAGGCGGUGGUUCAAGUCAGGCGUGAAAGCCCCGGGCUCAACCUGGGAACGGCGCUUGAGACUGGAUCACUCGAGUUCGGGAGAGGAUGGUGGAAUUCCCAGUGUAGAGGUGAAAUUCGUAGAUAUUGGGAAGAACACCAAUGGCGAAGGCAGCCAUCUGGACCGACACUGACGCUGAGGCGCGAAAGCGUGGGGAGCAAACAGG
rnacentral:rRNA from 1 species